GGGUUGGACUUAAUGAUCUUUUGAGGUCCCUUCCAGCCCUUAAUUUCCAUGAUUCUAAGAAACCAUUUUUCCAGGCCAGGAUUAUAGGAGCCCUGUGUACUCUCUGGUCAUAUCUCCCAUGCAGGGGAAAAGGAAGGAAAAGGUAGAUGUCAUAAAUACAGACAUGCCAGCUUAACAACCCUAUGAACACUCAACCAGCUUGCUAUCUCCUGUACGCUCAAAGCACCACAAACAGGACAUAGAAGAGUUAAGGAUGUUUGUCUUUUGAAUGUGCCCACUGUGGAUGUUUUAUAUGAGGAGACUGAGCUGAAUUGACAUUAGGACCUGGAUGUUAUUUUAGAAAGAGGACUGGAUGUUAUUUGAGAAAGAGGAGAGCCGUUGCAGAGAACUGGCUUCAGAAAUAAGAAGAGGCUUCAUUGUUCAGAAGAGCAGCCAGGAGCUGCAGAUCAGAGAUCCUGGGCAUCUUGAAGGAUUCUGGCUCAGAGAUGACAACUAUGGAGUUCAGAAACUGGAGUAGGGAAAUGUGCACAAGUGCUUAUUAUUUUUAAUCUAAGUUUUGCCCUUGAUAAAGCAAAGAAUAAUUGCU